rnacentral:rRNA from 1 species
AACAGGGAUUGCCCCAGUAACGGCGAGUGAAGCGGCAACAGCUCAAAUUUGAAAUCUGGCCCCCAGGGCCCGAGUUGUAAUUUGCAGAGGAUGCUUCUGGCGCGGUGCCUUCCGAGUUCCCUGGAACGGGACGCCAUAGAGGGUGAGAGCCCCGUCUGGUUGGACGCCUAGCCUAUGUGAAGCUCCUUCGACGAGUCGAGUAGUUUGGGAAUGCUGCUCUAAAUGGGAGGUAUAUGUCUUCUAAAGCUAAAUAUUGGCCAGAGACCGAUAGCGCACAAGUAGAGUGAUCGAAAGAUGAAAAGCACUUUGAAAAGAGGGUUAAAUAGUACGUGAAAUUGUUGAAAGGGAAGCGCUUAUGACCAGACUUGGGCCCGGGGAAUCAUCCAGCGUUCUCGCUGGUGCACUUCGCCGGGCUCAGGCCAGCAUCAGUUCGCCGCGGGGGAGAAAGGCUUCGGGAAUGUGGCUCCUCCGGGAGUGUUAUAGCCCGUUGCACAAUACCCUGUGUGCGGACUGAGGUUCGCGCUCCGCAAGGAUGCUGGCGUAAUGGUCAUCAGCGACCCGUCUUGAAACACGGACCAAGGAGUCGUCUUCGUAUGCGAGUGUUCGGGUGUCAAACCCCUACGCGUAAUGAAAGUGAACGCAGGUGAGAGCUUCGGCGCAUCAUCGACCGAUCCUGAUGUUCUCGGAUGGAUUUGAGUAAGAGCAUACGGGGCCGGACCCGAAAGAAGGUGAACUAUGCCUGUAUAGGGUGAAGCCAGAGGAAACUCUGGUGGAGGCUCGCAGCGGUUCUGACGUGCAAAUCGAUCGUCAAAUAUGGGCAUGGGGGCGAAAGACUAAUCGAAC